rnacentral:lncRNA from 1 species
GUGAUUAAUUUCAAAUCAACAUCCAAACUUAUUAUUUUAUUAACUACUGCAGAACUGGAAAGGUGUUGCUGCUAUCCAGCACAGGUUUAUAGGCAGUAAUACAUUUCUACUAGAAAAUAAGUUAUCUCCAACAUAUAACAGCUUAGAAUCAGAAGCUGUGAUAACAUAGUACCUAAUGGUAUUUAUUAUACCAUUUAGAAGGGGCUCUGAGGACUUAAAUAACUAGUAUUUGCAUAUUACAUUCACUUUCAAUAUCCAAGAUAGCAUCAUCUUUAAGUUAAUUUGUUUCCCCAAGCUAGAAAAGUGGUUGUUUUACUAAUAGGUAUUUCCAGGCUCUCCCUUGCUCCUCUUAGCAAUAAAUCAGUAAGUUGCUCAGCACCAUAGUUUAAACCACUUGUUUUGCUCCAGGUGUUUUGGCAUUGCUGCUCCUCAUUUCCUUUUAAAACACAUACUUAUUCUGAAAAUAAUACCUACUUCUGGCAUAUAGGUACCCUUGACUAAGUAUUAGUUCAAUUUGGUAAAGAUGGGGAAAAAAAUAAGAAGAAGAAGAAAGAAAGAAAGAAAGAGUUAUCAUCUUUUUCUUUUAUCAGAAAAGUCUCAGAAAUGGAAAAACAAUGUCUUAUGCUGGCCACCUCAAGACUCAAGACAGUGAAGAUCAUUUCCUGUGUUUUCUACAUUUGUUUUGCAAGAUCUUGACAAAAUUGUCUGAUCAGGCUUGUAGAUUAGUGGUUGCAAGCUUCAAGGAAAUGUCUUUGGCUAGUUUUCAAUAUAAACAGGAAAACAGAAAACUGUCUGAAGACUUUGUCCACAUAACACACUGCUUUAACUUCUCGUGAUUUAAAACAUAAGGAAGAAAAGUCUAGUCUGCUAUACUGAAUAAAGCAUAAAACACUCACA